rnacentral:rRNA from 1 species
UACGUAGGGUGCAGGCGUUAAUCGGAAUUACUGGGCGUAAAGCGUGCGCAGGCGGUUUCUUAAGUCAGAUGUGAAAGCCCCGGGCUUAACCUGGGAACUGCGUUUGAAACUGGGAGACUUGAGUGUGGCAGAGGGGGGGUGGAAUUCCACGUGUAGCAGUGAAAUGCGUAGAUAUGUGGAGGAACACCGAUGGCGAAGGCAGCCCCCUGGGUUAACACUGACGCUCGAUGCACGAAAG